GAAAAUUCGCAGGCCGCACGCACAGAGGGCGCUGUACUGAUACAUGUAGCUCUGUUCGAUAGCUGCCGCCAAAGUUAAACCUGAGUGAGGAACGAUCGAUUUUUGAAGUUUGAUUAUGGCCUGUAUGCGGAAGCUUUCCUCGGAUACAAUACGACUUGUCACCAGCUCACAAGUUAUUACAUCAGUUGUAAGCGUCAUCAAAGAACUCAUUGAGAAUUCACUGGAUGCAGGAAGUGACAAUAUUGAAAUCAAAUUGGAAAAUUAUGGCUUUGAUAAAAUUGAGGUGCGAGACAAUGGGAGUGGCAUCAAACCCAUUGAUGCUCCGUUUAUGGCGCGACGACACUUCACAUCCAAGAUAUCCCAGCAUGCUGAUCUAGAAUAUCUAGCAACAUACGGUUUCCGUGGCGAAGCUCUGGGAUCACUCUGUGCCAUGUCUUCAGUUACCAUAGUAACAAAGACACAAGAUGAUGAGUUUGGACGCCAUUAUGUUUUGGAUCACGAAGGAGAAAUUGUCACAUCUAAACCAUCUCAUCUUGGAAAUGGAACUACUGUGACUGCGAUGCAUUUAUUCAAGAAUGUUCCGGUUCGCAAACAGUACUACACCAAUGCCAAGAGAAGAAGGGAUGAACUGAAGAAAGUAGAGGAGUUGGUAAUGAGCUAUGGUGUCAUACGUCCUGCAGUACGCUUCGCGCUCAGUCAUAACAAGAGCUCCCUCUGGCAAAAAUGUAAAGUAGCCAAUCACAAGGCAGCUUUGAUAAACACUUGGGGAUCUAGUGUGAUGUCUCAUAUGCAAUACAUACAGCGAUUGGACGACGAGACUGAGGUGCGAAUAGAAGGCUUUGUACCAAGUCUAUCUGCAGACAGCCAAUCAGCAUCAAGAGCUGUAUCAGACAGGUGUUGGAUUGCAAUCAAUGGUCGACCAAUCAUCUUCAAGGAUAUUGAGAAGAUGGUGAAGCAAUCAUACUGUCAAGCAGUGAAGCAUGACAUGGUGUCCGUCCGUUAUUUGGUCAUGUUUAUAAGCAUCAGCCUACCUCAGCAUCAUGUGGAUGUGAACCUGGAACCAAAUAAAACUAAAGUAAUGCUUCAAAACAAGGAAGUUGUGUUUUCGGUCCUGUCCGAUUUAUUGGAUGAGGUUUAUGGAAGAAAAGCAGAUGACCACAUUGCUGAUGUAGUCAUCCCAAACUCCACACACCAACAGGCCAACAACAUUCAACCAGUAGAUAACUUGCCAACUCAACUAGGGUUUAAUGACAGAACUCUCUGCAACACCAACACCGCAUUUGAAGACAAUCAUGUACCUACAUGUACUUCUGAUGGUGGUGUUAAGAAUGAAAAUACGUGGUCUAUUGAGAAAUUAGACUGUGAAAGGGAAAGUGCUGUAUAUCAAAGUAUUAAUCUUGGAAAGCCAUCUCAUCAAGAUCAUAACCAUGAUGUUCCAGUGUGCAAAGCCACCGAGGAGCCAAAGGGGAUCGCAGAAACACCUUGCUCUGCACAAAAUGUACCCACCACUACCAAGAAUCUUCCGAGUGCAUCCAAUGAUCAGACUGUCGGGGACAGCAUACAACAAAACAUAUUCCAGCUGAAUUUUAGUAUCUUUGAUGAUGUUGAUUUUGAGCUGGAGAAAGUGGAUGAAACUGCAGCAACUAUUGCUUUGGAUGAAGCAAAGUGCCCAGAAAGUGACCUAAUGAACCAAAAUGUUUUACAUCAAGCAGACAAUACAACAAUGUGUGAUUAUCUAAUCGAGGAAACUGCUGGAAAUGUCCAAUCAGUGACAUCAUCAGUCAAUCUUACCGACUGGAGUAAAGGAAGAGGACUAACAAACAAAGAUGGCAGACCACUUGAACCUGCAACACUCCAUAUCCCCAGGAAAGCGGUUGAGGAGAGACUAGUAACCAAUCACAUUGAACCAGGUCAACUUUCAACCAAUCAGAGAACUUCAAACUCUGAGUCACCUUUUCAAGUUCCAGCAGAUUGUACAAACACAAACCAGAAUAAACUGGCCAGGAUACCACACACUGUUACUUUGGGUAACAGCAUGACAUCAUCAUCAUCAACCAAUCAGGAAGCAGAUGAUCUUACACCAACCAAUGGGAAGAGAACAUCACCUAAGCGGAGACCCUCAUUGGAGAAGAAGAUUGGAAAAGGAACUAUGUACGAUCUCAUUUGUGGCUCACCGAUUCGAAGACCUCAGAGUUCAUAUGAGUUUUUCUGCAAGGAAAUGAGACCACUGGUGUUGGGGGAGAACCCAAGAGCUAGUUUUAACGACAUCACAAAAGUUGUGGCCGAAAAAUGGAGACAGUUGGAAGAAAUGGAGAAAGCAAAAUAUGAGGAGAAAUCAAGGAGAGAUACAGAAAGACAUCGCAAUCAAUUGGAGGCAGCUCAGAAGAAACUAGGCUUCAAGCGUGGAACAGGUUUAGAGGCACCUCCAAGCAAAAAGAGAAAGAUUACUCUGGCAUCGAAUCAGGGACUGAUAGAUAAGAUGCUGCUGUCACAGCAACAGCGGGAAUCAGCCAAUCAACUUCUACCGACAAAAGCUCCUGACAUUCCAACAGUUAAUAUAACAUUCAAUUUGAUUGGAUUAAGAAGAGAGUUUGAAACUCACCAGCAGAAAAGGAAAACUGAUCCUGAUCAAAGACUCAACCUGAUUGGUCAGCUUGCAUCACAUGAUGUGUGGCUGGCUCACCAUGGUAACCAAGUGGUGGUUUUCAACCAAUACAGGGUUGAAGAGACCCUGCUGUUUCACAGGCUACUGGCUCAUCACAUGUUGCCAUGCCAACCUGUUGAAGUCCCUGUUGUACUGUCACCAAGCAUGGUAGGCGGUCAUGACAACUGGGCUACAUUACUUGAGAUGUCCAAACGAGUCAAUCCACCGGACCCUGCCAUGUACUACACUGAUACUAGACUCACAGCCAAUGGAUUCACAAUCAAACAAACAAUUCAGAAACAGUGGAGGUCAAAGUACAGGUCAUUGCUAUGGCAACCACCGUCAGUUGCUAUGGUAUCCAGGACCUUCAGGAAUUACUGGAGUUAAUAACUACAAAGCAGUCUUGUACUCUGUCGCAGUGCAGACCACUGAAAGUAGCCAACUACCUGAAAGGAGAAGCUGUUCGUAUGGCACGUAAUCUGCCUUCAACCAUGCUAGAAGAAGAUGUUCAAAAUGUGAUUGAACGUAUGAAGCAACUUCCAAACCAGUGCAAGACAUGUCUUCAUAACCAGCCAUUCACAUAUCCAU
rnacentral:misc_RNA from 1 species